rnacentral:lncRNA from 1 species
GUAAAUCUAGACAUAUAAAAUGCUUCGACAAGGAUACUACUGAUCUAAAAUGUAAGAUGAAGCAGUCAACUUUGUCAGACGAUGCGACUGAUGUCAACAGAAUGCUAAUAUUCAGCAUCAACCAUCUGUACCACUAACUUCGAUUGUUGCUCCUUGAUUGUUCGCUCAAUGGAGAAUAGACAUCUUAGGUUCUUUUUCACAAGCAUCUU